rnacentral:rRNA from 1 species
UACGUAGGGACCAAGCGUUGUUCGGAUUUACUGGGCGUAAAGGGCGCGUAGGCGGCGCGGUAAGUCACUUGUGAAAUCUCUGAGCUUAACUCAGAACGGCCAAGUGAUACUGCAGUGCUAGAGUGUGGAAGGGGCAAUCGGAAUUCUUGGUGUAGCGGUGAAAUGCGUAGAUAUCGUAAGGAAGACCAGUGGCGAAGGCGGGUCUCUGGACAGUUCCUGACGCUGAGGCACGAAGGUCAGGGGAGCAAACGGG